ACAAUCAACUGGUGRGGUGUGAGCCGUGAGGGGUUCUCGUCUGUAGUGGACGAGGGCCGGGWGCACAACAACAGGCAAUCGCCAGACACACUAUUGGGCCCUGAGACAACACUCGGCCGACUUCGGUUGAAGUGGUGUCCCUCCAUCUUGGUGGUGGGGUGUGGUGUUUGAGUAUUGGAUAGUGGUUGCRAGMAUACYAAAG
rnacentral:misc_RNA from 1 species